rnacentral:hammerhead_ribozyme from 1 species
AUCCGAGUGACGAGUCCAAAAUAGGACGAAACGCGCGCCCUGGGU